AUGCACGUUCAUCAUAGCCCUACCUGGAAACACCCCACAUUUCAUCCACUGAGGAACAGACAAAGCGCGGUCCAGACACACAAUGGAAGAUUAACUGGACAGAAUAGGGGUAAAAGCACCAGCGCUCCCUAUGACACUGAGGAACCUCAAAACACUGUGCUCAGCGAAGGAAGCCAGCACAGAAGAUCACAUUACACUGUCAUUUCACACCAGACCUCCAGAACUGGGAAAUCCAGGGAAACGGGAACCAGGGAGGACCCUGGCCCCCACUGGUUGACCACAGCUGAUCGAGUCAGGAAGCGACACCUGACCCAGGCUGAAUGUCUCUCUUAAGAUUCAGGAAUCCGGAUCCCCGGAGUCCAGAAAAUUGAAAUGAUGACAAGAUGUGAUGGGGAACACUUGUCUCAGCUCCAUGUGGUUUUAGUGGGUGUCCUGCCCAGGGUCUGGAGGAUCUACUCUCAAGAUGGUAUGCUUUUAUGGCUGUCAAAUGGUGCUGGCUGCUGGCUGCUGGCUGGGUGUCUGGCUGGGGCCGUCGGCUGGAGGACCUUGUUUCUCUCCUUGUUGGCAUGUCCAGGUGCUGCUUAGGCUUCCUUACAGCACGGCAACUCGGUUCCAAGCUUGAGCACCCCAAGAGCAUGAGGCAGAAGCUGUGUUUCUGUUUAUGAACUGACCUUUGAAGGCACAUUAUGUCACUUUUGUGAUAAUCACACACUGGCACAGAUUCAGGGGAAGGGAAUGCAGAGCCCACCUCUCAACAGGCGGGUGUCAACCCCACACUGAAAGAAGAUCAGGUGGAAUGGGGGAUCUUGUGGACAUUUCACAGUGUUAUGGCAAAGACAGGAAAGCAAGCACACAUCAGUCGAUUGUGGCUCAGUUCUUUGAAGGAGACCAACAGGCUUUUGUAGGAUGAAAGGGGAACUUCCUUUCUGCAGUACAGUCAGGGAGCCUCUCUGGAGCUGAGAAAAGAAAGAUUUCGUGGUCUGUUGUCAUGGGAAGAGGCACCAGGCAAAAGAGCAAGGACCCACGUCUGGAGGCCCCAAAGGGUGCAGGUUGGAAGUCUAGGCAGACGUGGGCUUGAAUCCCGUCCACUCAUUAUUUUCCCUCUGGCAAGGCACUUUACCUUGGUGGGACUAAGUGAGUCUUUUAAAAAGGAGCGUGCAAUUCCACAUCACCUGAGUCCAUGAAAUCACCAAUGUGCUCUUAUCCUAGUGCCUGGCUCACAUGUGGGUUACAGCUUUUUUAUCUUUCUCCCUGGUUUUUGUUUUUAAAUGGCUGGGUGGUACUAUGUUUAUAAGGCUUGGAGAGUUUCCUCCAAAAUGAAAGCAGUACUGCCAGCCCUACUUUAAGGGGGAAUGAUUUCCAAACUGUACAGAACAAAUGCCUCUAAUAGCUGCCUUUCAAUGACUGCAGCCUGUCAGUGCUGGAGUGACGGACUACAGGAAAUGAGAGGGUCAGUUGGAGUUGCGGAGAGGGGCUUGGAACUGCAAAGGCGUGGAGUGUACACUGGCCAAAGGUGGAAGGUGCUGACCAGUGGCUACUUGGAAGAAAUCACCAUGUUCCAGUAGGAGCUCAGUUGCAAUCCACUGCUUGUGUGAAGGAAGGCUGCUGAUUCAGCAGCAAAAGGGUUGGAAGUAAAAUGGAAAAAAUAAAAAGUAGAGCACAGGAGUGGUGGCA
rnacentral:lncRNA from 13 species